rnacentral:rRNA from 2 species
CAACAGGGAUUCCCCUAGUAACGGCGAGUGAAGCGGGAACAGCUCAAAUUUGAAAUCUGGCCUUCGGGUCCGAGUUGUAAUUUGCAGAGGAUGCUUUUGGUGCGGUGCUUUCCGAGUUCCCUGGAACGGGACGCCUUAGAGGGUGAGAGCCCCGUACGGUUGGCCACCAAGCCUGUGUAAAGCUCCUUCGACGAGUCGAGUAGUUUGGGAAUGCUGCUCAAAAUGGGAGGUAUAUUUCUUCUAAAGCUAAAUACUGGCCAGAGACCGAUAGCGCACAAGUAGAGUGAUCGAAAGAUGAAAAGCACUUUGAAAAGAGGGUUAAAUAGCACGUGAAAUUGUUGAAAGGGAAGGGUUUAUGACCAGACCUUUUCUAGGGGGAUCAUCCGGUGUUCUCACCGGUGCACUUCCCCUAGUUGAGGCCAGCAUCGGUUUCUGUAGGGGGAUAAAAGCUUCGGGAAUGUGGCUCCUUCGGGAGUGUUAUAGCCCGUUGCAUAAUACCCUUACGGGGACCGAGGUCCGCGCUUCGGCUAGGAUGCUGGCGUAAUGGUUAUUAACCACCCGUCUUGAAACACGGACCAAGGAGUCGAACAUUUGUGCGAGUGUUUGGGUGUUAAACCCUCACGCGUAAUGAAAGUGAACGGAGGUGAGAGCCCUUCGGGGUGCAUCAUCGACCGAUCCUGAUGUCUUCGGAUGGAUUUGAGUAAGAGCAUAACUGUUCGGACCCGAAAGAUGGUGAACUAUGCGUGGAUAGGGUGAAGCCAGAGGAAACUCUGGUGGAGGCUCGCAGCGGUUCUGACGUGCAAAUCGAUCGUCAAAUCUGCGCAUGGGGGCGAAAGACUAAUCGAA